CUGUCUGGCCUGGGCAGAGUGUCUGCUGCAGAGUACUGUGGUGGCUGCCAGCCUCCUUCCUUCUUGGGGCCUGAUGGUCUACUCAAGCUCAGGCUUCAGCGAGGCCUACACGGAGGCCUCCCUGGAGGCGGGGAGAAAAGGAGCUCCUAGCAGCUUGUCCCCUGCUUUAGAUUGUGGGCCAGGAGGACAAGCAGGAGAGAGGGUGAACAGGGCAAGUGGCUGAGGGGGCAGGGGGCAAUGGGGAGUCAUGUGAGGUGUCUCUGGGGGGGCCCUCCAGGCAAUGGGGCCCUCAGACAACUGUCUCCCCUUGCCUAAUGGUAGUUCCGCCCAUGGUUCAAUGUAUCUCUAUGAAGGUGCAAGAAGACUCUUCAGAGACUGCACUGAUUCUAGGUUAUCUCCUACUGAGCUCAUACACAGCAGUGGCACCCCUCAGAUUAGCCUAUCACAAGGGUCAUACUGAAAUAUUUCUAGGAAUCCGGUAAUCUCAGGAAAUGCCUCAACAAGAACCACACUGCUGGCAUCAUGGCAAACUCUGAGCAUAUGAAGCAAUAUUACCAUAUGCAGCCAAGUAGUAAUAUAGCAGUGGUAAUAUCUGGUAUCUACAAAGCAAUAUCUGGUCCUAAUCACAGAGCAUGUGACUGCCACCAUUUUCAAUAGGAAUCCUUUGCAGAUUUCAAGUAGGCUUCACCACAUGGAGAAAAACAACUCUUCGUGUGCAAAGCCACCCAUGGAUAUCACCCAAGAGCUAAGCAGAAGUCUCCUUAUCAACCCUGCUGCUGAAGAUCCUUGAACCAGAGGUGCCAGCGAAUUGAUCUUUGGCUUCAAACACACCAAGCAAGAACCUUAUCAUUAAUUUUAACAGGCAAUUACAUCUUAAAGAAUA